GGGAUACCCUUCUUCUCCACCA
rnacentral:misc_RNA from 1 species